rnacentral:misc_RNA from 1 species
CAGUGCCUGCAGGCGUCGGGUAACCCCCGGCGUCUCGCGACCUGGCCACCCGUGUCUACCUUACCUUUUGUUGCUUCGGCGGGCCCGCCCCCCGGGGCCGCUAGGGGUGCGUGCCCACGCAGCGUGGCAACGCACCCCCGGCCAGCGCCCGCCGAGGGACCCUUAGAACUCUUGUGAAUUAGUGACGUCUGAGGUUAUUCAAAUAGCACA